rnacentral:miRNA from 1 species
GGUACGUGCGUGCGUGCGUGAGUGUGUGUGUGUGUGUGUGUGUGUGUGUCCAGCACUGUGCAGGGUUCUAGCACAAAGCCA